AGCGAACGCUGGCGGCAGGCUUAACACAUGCAAGUCGAGCGGGCAUCCUUGUGGUGUCAGCGGCAGACGGGUGAGUAACGCGUGGGAACGUGCCCUUCGGUUCGGAAUAACUCAGGGAAACUUGAGCUAAUACCGGAUACGUGCGAGAGCAGAAAGGUUUAUCUGCCGAAGGAUCGGCCCGCGUCUGAUUAGCUAGUUGGUGAGGUUAUGGCUCACCAAGGCGACGAUCAGUAGCUGGUCUGAGAGGAUGAUCAGCCACACUGGGACUGAGACACGGCCCAGACUCCUGCGGGAGGCAGCAGUGGGGAAUAUUGGACAGUGGGGGCAACCCUGAGCCAGCCAGGCCGCGUGAGUGAUGACGGCCUUAGGGUUGUAAAGCUCUUUUCUCCGGGACGAUAAUGACGGUACCGGAGGAAUAAGCCCCGGCUAACUUCGUG
rnacentral:rRNA from 1 species